UACGUAGGGUGCGAGCGUUAAUCGGAAUUACUGGGCGUAAAGCGUGCGCAGGCGGUUCGUUGUGUCGGCGGUGAAAGCCCCGGGCUCAACCCGGGAAUGGCCGUUGAAACUGGCGAACUGGAGUGUGGCAGAGGGGGGUGGAAUUCCGCGUGUAGCAGUGAAAUGCGUAGAGAUGCGGAGGAACACCGAUGGCGAAGGCAGCCCCCUGGGCUGACACUGACGCUCAGGCACGAAAGCGUGGGGAGCAAACAGG
rnacentral:rRNA from 1 species